rnacentral:rRNA from 1 species
AGUUGAUCAGUGGCUCGAGGACGAACGCUGGCGGCGUGCCUAAGACAUGCAAGUCGAGCGAGGAGACUUCGGUCUCUGAGCGGCGGACGGGUGAGUAACGCGUGGGCAACCUGCCCUUCAGCCCGGGAUAACUGCCUGAAAAGGUGGCUAAUACCGGAUGCGGUAAUCGGAUCGCAUGGUCUGGUUACGAAAAUUACGGUGCUGAAGGAUGGGCCCGCGUCCCAUUAGCUAGUUGGUGAGGUAACGGCCCACCAAGGCGACGAUGGGUAGCCGGCCUGAGAGGGUGGACGGCCACACUGGGACUGAGACACGGCCCAGACUCCUACGGGAGGCAGCAGUCGGGAAUCUUCCACAAUGGGCGAAAGCCUGAUGGAGCGACGCCGCGUGAGGGAAGAAGGUUUUCGGAUCGUAAACCUCUGUCCUCAGGGACGAUAAUGACGGUACCUGAGGAGGAAGCCACGGCUAACUACGUGCCAGCAGCUGC